UAGGGAUAACACACAAAAAUCUAAAGAAGAUAAUAUCCUUUCAAAAACCAUUCUGUCUUACAGAGCUUUAUGAGAGCUUUAUUUUAAAACAAACCUCAAGUAAAAUGACCAAUGUAUUGCAAAGUUAUGGCCGAUUUAAGUUAUCCGGAAAAGGGCAAAAAUCUGCCGGAAAUCAUCAAAAUUGCCCUAAAAGGCAAAAAAACGGCUUUUUGGGCAAUUUCAAGGAUCUGUUAUAUCACAAAUAUGAAUAUAUAAUAUCUAAAAACACUUGUCCAUAGCUACAGCACUUGUGUUCUAGGGAAUCUGCUCAAAUGGGAUCAUCAGAGUAAGUCGCCGCCAUAUUACAGUCUCCGGAACGGGACCAAUUAUUCAAAAUCACUCAUCCGCAACAUGGGCUUGUCCAUUAAUUGGCACGGAGUCACUACCAAGGGGAUCAGAUCGAGAAAGUGGAACUUGAAACCAACAAUGAACUGACGACCUGAUGGGAAAAAGAUGAGGCCAUUCAAGGCAUAUUCAUAAAUUUCCUGAUAAGUUUUGAAGGUCUGGUAGUUGAACACAUUGGACAUACAAUUUAAAACUAGCGGCAUAUGUCUAUCUUAUCUCAUGUACACUGAGAUUUGUUUCAAGCAUCAAAAUAAUAUUCCAGAUAUAUGCUAUUUUAUGUUCAGACUUUUACUAAGACUAUGCCCAGUAUAUAUUUGCAGACCUGUAUAUUUGUACAAACUGUAAUGUAAUUGUAAACUUAGUUCACAAGGUGGAAUGUUGCAUUAGAUUGAAAGACAUUCAUACCAAAACUUUAAAAGCGAGUCUGUUGGUAUGACAAGUAAUAUUGCAAAUGCCAAGCUUGUUAUUAUUAUUAUUGUGUACAUAAAAAUGAAAAGAGAAUGAAAUAACAUAUAUUUGUAGUAGAUCAACUCAAAUCUUUCCAAAAUGGAAAGUAAAGUGGUAUGACUUUGGACACAAUAGAAAACAAGUAUUAUUUCAUUUAAUAAUAGCGCUUCAUACAUUGGUAUCUAGGCACUAUAAAUGUAACUAUUAUUAUCAUUAUUAAAUGAAACAUUUUUUCUGUUGUGUCCAAAGUCACCCCAGUUUACGGUACAUUUGUACACAUACCUCUUCGCCUGCCACAUCUCCAGAUAAUCAUCCUCCAAUUCUUUUUCCAGAAGAUAUUUGUACAAGUCCUUAGCAUUGUCACACAUGUACAUAAAGGUGUGAAAUGUACAUGUAUAUCAUUUGUCCAAAUAAAGUUCAUUUGAUCCAUC